UGGGGAAUAUUGCACAAUGGGCGCAAGCCUGAUGCAGCGACGCCGCGUGAGGGAUGACGGCCUUCGGGUUGUAAACCUCUUUCAAUAGGGACGAAGCGCAAGUGACGGUACCUAUAGAAGAAGGACCGGCCAACUACGUGCCAGCAGCCGCGGUAAUACGUAGGGUCCGAGCGUUGUCCGGAAUUACUGGGCGUAAAGAGCUCGUAGGUGGUUUGUCGCGUUGUUCGUGAAAACUCACAGCUUAACUGUGGGCGUGCGGGCGAUACGGGCAGACUAGAGUACUGCAGGGGAGACUGGAAUUCCUGGUGUAGCGGUGGAAUGCGCAGAUAUCAGGAGGAACACCGGUGGCGAAGGCGGGUCUCUGGGCAGUAACUGACGCUGAGGAGCGAAAGCGUGGGGAGCGAACAGGAUUAGAUACCCUGGUAGUCCACGCCGUAAACGGUGGGUACUAGGUGUGGGUUUCCUUCCUUGGGAUCCGUGCCGUAGCUAACGCAUUAAGUACCCCGCCUGGGGAGUACGGCCGCAAGGCUAAAACUCAAAUGAAUUGACGGGGUCAUAGCUG
rnacentral:rRNA from 1 species